GACGAACGCUGGCGGCGUGCUUAACACAUGCAAGUCGAGCGGUAAGGCCCUUCGGGGUACACGAGCGGCGAACGGGUGAGUAACACGUGGGUGAUCUGCCCUGUACUUCGGGAUAAGCCUGGGAAACUGGGUCUAAUACCGGAUAUGACCUUCUCUCGCAUGGGGGUUGGUGGAAAGAUUUAUCGGUACAGGAUGGGCCCGCGGCCUAUCAGCUUGUUGGUGGGGUAAUGGCCUACCAAGGCGACGACGGGUAGCCGGCCUGAGAGGGCGACCGGCCACACUGGGACUGAGACACGGCCCAGACUCCUACGGGAGGCAGCAGUGGGAAUAUUGCACAAUGGGCGAAGCCUGAUGCAGCGACGCCGCGUGCGGGAUGACGGCCUUCGGGUUGUAAAGC
rnacentral:rRNA from 1 species